CUUCUGCUCCCCUAUCGUCGGCAGCUACGACCAGAGAACAGACAAGCGCCACGUCUCGCGCGCUCGUCCGCUCCCCGUCGAUGAGCUGCCGCGCGUCGCCGUGGAACCUCCCGCCGCUCCCCUCCGGGCCGCGCUUCCCGACCUCGGCGCGGCCGCGCUCCCCACUCGGAAGUAGGAAUCUGUGGAAGAAUCCAAUUUUGAACAACUCAUGGACACUAGGUGUUGGUGUUCCAAAUAUUUUUGCACUGCCGUCAAGGAUGUUCAGGUGCAUGGCUUCAAGUGGCUCUGGGGAUAGUGGUUUUGCUCGGCCUACAUCAACUGACGAAGCAGUAGCGCCGUUGCCAUUAUACUCAUGGCCAGAUAAGCAGCGACCACGGGUGUGCAUUUUAGGUGGUGGAUUUGGUGGCCUGUACACUGCUCUAAGACUAGAGUCUCUUGUGUGGCCGAGUGAUAAGAAGCCUCAGGUUGUUCUGGUUGAUCAAUCUGAUAGAUUUGUAUUUAAGCCCAUGUUGUAUGAGCUCUUAUCAGGAGAAGUGGAUGUCUGGGAGAUAGCUCCAUCUUUUACAGAAUUGUUGAAAAACACUAGUGUUCAAUUUGUGAGGGACAGUGUAAAGCUUCUGCGACCUUCUGAUCACUUUAGAAGAGAACCUGGAGAAUCAUGGGCUGGUGGGGUUGUUCAUCUGGAAAGUGGCACUGUCAUUGAAUAUGAUUGGCUCGUUCUAGCUUUAGGGGCUGAAGCUAAGAUCGAUGUUGUUCCAGGGUCAGCUGAAUAUGCACUUCCUUUCACAACGUUAGAGGAUGCUUUGAGAGUUGAAAGCAAGUUGAAAAUGCUAGAGAGGAAAAGGUUUGGUAAGAGCUCCCCUACUAUUGAGGUGGCAAUAGUGGGGUUGGGCUAUUCCGGUGUUGAAUUAGCUGCGACUAUAUCUGAGAGAUUAAAGAACACUGGGACUGUAAAGGCAAUAAAUGUUCAAACAACCAUAUGUCCCACUGCUCCACAAGGAAAUCGUGAUGCUGCUGUGAAGGUUCUUGAGUCUCGGAAUAUUCAGCUUUUCUUGGGAUAUUUUGUGAGCUGCAUUAAAGAGGCUUCUACAGCUGAUGAUUCAAGUGGCACAGUUGCAGAUUCUGAAGUUGAUGGUGAUCAUAAGAAACUAAUUUUGGACCUUCAACCUGCUGAAAGAGGCCUCAAAGGCCAGACUCUGGAGGCUGAUUUGGUGCUGUGGACAGUGGGUUCAACAUCUCAGAUUCCCCGGUUGCAACCUCCUGAUGCUCCCUAUGUGAUUCCUCUCAAUGGUCGGGGGCAGGUGGAGACAGAGGAAACCCUUCUAGUGAAAGGCCAUCCCCGGACAUUUGCUAUUGGUGAUUCAGCAGCUCUAAGGGAUGCAUCAGGCAAACUUCUCCCAGCCACUGCACAGGUUGCUUUUCAACAAGCAGAUUUUGCUGGAUGGAAUCUCUGGGCGGCAAUCAAUGAUCGGCCUCUCCUGCCAUUCAGGUUCAAAUCUGGGGACACCUUUGCAUUUGUUCAUUUAUUCAAAUCAUUGCUAAACUGUUCAGUCUGUUGCCAGUAAUAUUACAUAUGUUAGUCUUGCCACUAGGAAGGAUUGAACUCCAUAGAGACACCAAAUACACGUAGGUCCCGUUUGUUUCAGUUUAUGGUCCAUUUUGAAGGUUCGAUUUUGGAUUUCUUAAAAUCGAGCCUUCAAAAUCGGCGAUAAGCUGAAACAAACAGGGCCAUACACUGAAUGUUUUGCAGGUUCCAAAACCUUGGUGAGAUGAUGACACUUGGUAGAAAUGAUGCUGCAAUAACUGCAAGUUUCAUCGAGGGACUGACCUUGGAAGGACCCUUAGGACAUGCUGCUCGGAAGCUAGUCUACUGCCUUAGAAUGCCCACAGAUGAGCACCGGGUGAAGGUUGGAGUCAGCUGGUUAACGAAGACUGCGAUCGACUCACUUGCCUCCGUGCAAAACGCAGUAAGUGACAUGCUCACAAGCCCAUGACCGUAUGGCCGUCAGAUGCAUUGUGACCUGCCAAUUCCUGAAUCGGAUGCACUGGAGGGCAAGUUGAGAUCGAUAAUAUGUACGUAAUUGAGGAUCUUGUUAAACAGUUUUACCGUGCUUCUGAAUUGAGAUGAUAUGGUCCUAUAGUAAGCAUUUGUACAAGUGAACAACUAUGGUAUUUGCAGAAGUGAUCUACUUCAUCUGUUGUUUCA